GAUGAACGCUAGCUACAGACUUAACACAUGCAAGUCGAGGGGCAGCAUGAUCGAAGCUUGCUUUGAUUGAUGGCGACCGGCGCACGGGUGAGUAACACGUAUCCAACCUGGCUCAGACUCGGGGAUAGCCUUUCGAAAGAAAGAUUAAUACCCGAUGGCAUGAAGCUCCCGCAUGAGGGCUUCAUUAAAGAUUCAUCGGUCUGAGAUGGGGAUGCGUUCCAUUAGGCAGUUGGCGGGGUAACGGCCCACCAAACCAUCGAUGGAUAGGGGUUCUGAGAAGAAGGUCCCCCACAUUGGAACUGAGACACGGUCCAAACUCCUACGGGAGGCAGCAGUGAGGAAUAUUGGUCAAUGGACGCAAGUCUGAACCAGCCAAGUAGCGUGAAGGAUGACUGCCCUAUGGGUUGUAAACUUCUUUUGUCAGGGAAUAAAGUGAGUCACGUGUGAUUCAUUGCAUGUACCUGACGAAUAAGGAUCGGCUAACUCCGUGCCAGCCGCCGCGGUAAGAC
rnacentral:rRNA from 1 species